AUGCAUGAGGGUGAUGACAGCGCGGGUGCUAAAGAGGCACCGACUGAUGAGGCUGGGCGAGAGGUGUCCCACGGUUCGGGCCAUGUUGCUCAGCUGCCCGGGGACGGGCCCAGGGUAGAGACGACACCAUCAUCCUUGGUGCCUAUGAGUUCUCUGCGGUUUGGGUCAUUUGAUCCAGCUUCUGCCCCUCCCAGACUCUGGAGCGACCGGGUGGAAUCUGAUGAUGUGUAUGAGUGCACGCUUCCUGUGUUGGAGUUUGAUGCUGCUGAUAGUCUCUUGGUUGGAGGCUUGGUGAGGACGCCCUCGGCGAUGACCUUGGAUGGGGGAGGGAAGGUGGAGCCUGAGAUGUCUCCUCUUUCCCCCGCUCUCCCAGCGGUCGCGUUCCGGGAGAUAACGUUUGCUUCAGAGGUUGUGUCUGGGGGAGGGAGUCCAGGAUAG
rnacentral:rRNA from 1 species